rnacentral:misc_RNA from 1 species
AACGCACGAGACCUGCGGACCUGCGGAGGGAUCAUUAAUGAGAAGCUGCCCCUCGUGGGUAGACCUCCCACCCUCUGUGAACUUACUUUUGUUGCUUUGGCAGGCCCGUCCUCUGGACCGCCGGCUUCGGCUGGCCCGUGCCUGCCAGAGGAUUCCAAACCCUGUCUGUCAGUGUUGUCUGAGUCUAUAUGAAAUCGUUAAAACUUUUAACAAUGGAUCUCUAGAUCGGAAGAGCACACG